rnacentral:rRNA from 1 species
UACGAAGGUGGCAAGCGUUGUUCGGAUUUACUGGGCGUAAAGGGAGCGUAGGUGGUUAGGUAAGCCCUCCGGGAAAUCUUCAGGCUUAACCUGAAAAGGUCGGGGGGGACUGCCUAGCUAGAGGGCGGGAGAGGAGCGCGGAAUUCCCGGUGUAGCGGUGAAAUGCGUAGAGAUCGGGAGGAACACCGGUGGCGAAGGCGGCGAUCUGGGUCGAUACUGACGCUGAGGUGCGAAAGCGUGGGGAGCAAACAGGG